ACUGUUGCUAGAGCCGUUCUCGUGGUGCGGUGCGGCAGCGGGAUACUAAAAGGCUCGCGUGUCAGCGGUGUGGAAAACAGUACAGAUGAAGAGAGGUGAAAGAUUUACGCCACCGAAGAAAAGUUAUUGGUUAAUACCCAAUAACCAUGACAUUACUUACUGAAUAAGGACCGGCUAACUCCGUGCCAGCAGCCGCGGUAAUACGGAGGGUCCAAGCGUUAAUCGGAAUUACUGGGCGUAAAGCGCGCGUAGGCGGUUUGACAAGUUGGGUGUGAAAUCCCCGGGCUUAACCUGGGAACUGCAUUCAAAACUUUUAAACUGGAGUACGGGAGAGGAGAGUAAAUUCAUGGUGUAGCGGUGAUAUGCGUAAUAUCAUGAGGAAUACCAAUGGCCAUAUUUUUAUUCUCUGGACCGAACUGACGCUGAGGUGCGAAAGCGUGGGUAGCAAACAGGAUUAAUACCCUGGUAGUCCACGCCGUAACAUGACAACUACCGUUGGACUUUCAGUUCAGUGGCCAGCUAAGCAUUAAUCACCGCCUGGGGAGUAAUACUAUGAAUUCCGGCCGCCUGCAGUCACCAUAUGGGAGAGCUCCCAACCGUUGGAUGAUAAUUGAAAUUCUAUAUGUCCCUAAAUAUUGGGAAACGGGCAUAUGUUUCCUGAA
rnacentral:rRNA from 1 species